GGGGAUGAUCGGUUUCGACGAUGUGAUUUGAGACAGGUGAAGCGUGCCGAGGAUGUAGAGGACACUCGUUAAUACCCUCUGCAAAACAAUAAGUGCAGAAUCUAAGCGCACUGAUUUCGCUCUCGCUGCUUAAGCGCGACUAGCGAAUCUGCCGGCCUGAGUUAGCCUUUGACUCAGUUUCCUGGUAUCAGUUUAAAAGGCCACUGCCUUGCUUCCUGGUCGUAGGGGAGUAAGGGACGUUUAUACGAAUAGGUUUGGCAGCAUCAGUGUUUACGCAAGUGCUGGAGCCGAAAAAUACCGACCCGUAAACUGCGCACGGAGAAGCCCUGACGAAGGCUCAUCGGACCGGGGUUCGAUUCCCCGCAUCUCCACCA
rnacentral:tmRNA from 1 species